CGCGCAUGACCCGUUACCAUGACUACCACAGGGCGCCGCAGCAGCACAUCGCAGCGCAGUGGUUUUGGUGUGGAACGGUGAUUUCGGGCGGCACAGGGAGGCAGAUAUGUGGCAACAUCAAAAUCGGCAGUCCGGUCAAGCUACAGCACAUGGUGGACUACGGCCAAUUUCCUCCGUUAUCAGAGGCGGUUGUUUCGAGCAGCAAUUGGCAGCUCGACACAUGAUGCUACACUGGUUGGCAACACAGCAAGCCAGUGCUGCUGUGGACACAGGUCGGCAAUGCACUCGGCCCAGUAGGCAUGUGAAGCAGGCAGCACGUAAAACCGAGGC